rnacentral:rRNA from 1 species
CGUAGGGACCGAGCGUUAUCCGGAUUCAUUGGGCGUAAAGAGCUCGUAGGCGGCUAUCCAAGUCGAACGUGUAAUCUCGGAGCUCAACUCCGAGCCUGCGUUCGAUACUGUAUGGCUAGAGUCUGGUAGGGGGAUCUGGAAUUCCUGGUGUAGCGGUGGAAUGCGCAGAUAUCAGGAGGAACACCGGUGGCGAAGGCGGGAUCCUGGGCCAGUACUGACGCUGAGGAGCGAAAGCGUGGGGAGCAAACAGGAUUAGAUACCCUGGUAGUCCACGCCGUAAACGAUGGGCGCUAGGUGUGGGAGGUCAUCGACUCCUUCCGUGCCGCAGCUAACGCAUUAAGCGCCCCGCCUGGGGAGUACGGCCGCAAGGCUA